rnacentral:miRNA from 1 species
CUCAGGCUCAGUGGUGCACGCUUGUAGUCCAGCUACUCUGGAGGCUGAAGGAAGAUGGCUUGAGCCU